GUGGGGAAUAUUGCACAAUGGGCGAAAGCCUGAUGCAGCAACGCCGCGUGAGGGACGACGGCCUUCGGGUUGUAAACCUCUUUUAGUAGGGAAGAAGCGAAAGUGACGGUACCUGCAGAAAAAGCACCGGCUAACUACGUGCCAGCAGCCGCGGUAAUACGUAGGGUGCAAGCGUUAUCCGGAAUUAUUGGGCGUAAAGAGCUCGUAGGCGGUCUGUCGCGUCUGCUGUGAAAACUGGAGGCUCAACCUCCAGCCUGCAGUGGGUACGGGCAGACUAGAGUGCGGUAGGGGAGAUUGGAAUUCCUGGUGUAGCGGUGGAAUGCGCAGAUAUCAGGAGGAACACCGAUGGCGAAGGCAGAUCUCUGGGCCGUAACUGACGCUGAGGAGCGAAAGCGUGGGGAGCGAACAGGAUUAGAUACCCGUGUAGUCC
rnacentral:rRNA from 1 species